UGACAGCCUUGUUGAGCAGACCAGAGUGUUAGCUAAUCAUAGCUCCUCCCCUCCUCCUCCUUCUCUGCUCUGUAUACACACGAGGAGGAGGGGGGAGCAGGCCAGGGACGCCGCUGAUCUCAGGGUAUCCUUUUAGGAUGGGCUGCUACAAUACUGCUGUAUCAGUCUCUGGUGACAAAGGUUACAGACUCGCUCUGGAUUGAUGGAAGAAGGAAGCGGAAUUUCAUUGGAUGAGCAUGUUGAGCAGAAGAUCCCCCCACAGUUCUUGCACUCAUUCUGCAAUGCAAAAAGAAAACUAGAAUCAUUCAUCUUUAAACACUUGUGCCCUAAAAGGGCUUUUGCUUUAUUGCAUCACAUUACUGCCCUUUCCCCUUAAAAAGAAUGGGACAGUGAAAAAUUAACCAUUAAAGUGUUACUAAACCCAGGA